UAUUAGAGCGUCACAAUGACUCUCGACAACGGAUAUCUCGGCUCUCGCAUCGAUGAAGAACGUAGCGAAAUGCGAUACUUGGUGUGAAUUGCAGAAUCCCGUGAACCAUCGAGUCUUUGAACGCAAGUUGCGCCCGAACCUUUCGGCCGAGGGCACGUCUGCCUGGGCGUCACGC
rnacentral:rRNA from 1 species